rnacentral:lncRNA from 1 species
GAGAGGGGAUUUUUUGUUUGCUUGGGUCGUGUUGGGUUUUGGUUUUACCAAAGUACUUGCAGGGCAUGAUUUUCAUUUGCAUACUGUUUUUGCAGCAGUUGCAGUUACCUGUCUGCAGUGCCUCUGCAGAACUGAGACGCUGUUCGGAACUUUUCAAGUAUGCAACAGCCAAGGUCACAAGGCCUUAUUUUGCAUAAGGUAACUGUCCUGAACAAGAUAUUCAUUGCACAAUUCCACUGCAUGGAAAAGCAAAGCUCAGUGGUAGUGUCAAGACCUGGCUGUGGAAAGUGGUUCAAUGUCUACACGUACCAAGAUGUUAUCAAGCAAUGCACACUGGAUUAGCAUUAUAAAAUUUUUAAGUCUUUUAGAACAAGUUUCUCAUAUUGUAUGAUGGAGAUCCUGGCCACCAUUGAGAUAAGUGAACAUUUUAUUGUAAUCUCACCAGAGCCGAGAUUUCACAUCUGUUUAUAGAGCAACUAUCAUGAAGGAUCACUUUAGCUUUACAUCAGCUAGGUACUGUCAGAAAAUGAGAGUCAUAUUGUCAAUCUCAUAUCAGUAUGGAUAUCAGUUGUACCACCAGUCAGACAGAAGCAUGCAUAAACAGCAAAACCUGCUGAUGCAUUGUAGAGAUAUCCUACCAAACAGAUGGAAACAGAAUCUGGAUAAACAUUGCCACCUAGCGGAGCCCUCCCUGGCAGAGUGUACUGCAGCAACCUCAUGACUUCACUGCAGAACAAUUAAGUAGGAGCUGGUAUUGAUCUUUAAUAGAAAAUGUUUUCUUAAAUAGACAAGCAACAGACAGUCUUCAACACAGGCUGCGCAGACAGAAAGAAUAUUACAAUUUCGGUUAGCUGAAUCU